UACGUAGGGCGCAAGCGUUGUCCGGAAUCAUUGGGCGUAAAGAGCUCGUAGGCGGCCUGUCGCGUCCGCUGUGAAAUCCCGGGGCUUAACCCCGGGCGUGCAGUGGAUACGGGCUGGCUGGAGGCAGGCAGGGGAGAACGGAAUUCCCGGUGUAGCGGUGAAAUGCGCAGAUAUCGGGAGGAACACCAAUUGCGAAGGCAGCUCGCUGGGACGUUACUGACGCUGAGACGCGAAAGCGUGGGGAGCAAACAGG
rnacentral:rRNA from 1 species